CUGCUGGAUGCUGAUCCGGCUGGGUGUGCUCAGAAUUACACCACAUUCUGCCUACAAGGGCCUAUGUCACUGUGUGGAUAGGCCCUGAUUACCGGGAGAGACCGAAUGAGGAGCAUUUUUGACAGGACCCGUUGCCUCCCAGACAUCUUUUACUGAAUGAGGUGAGGGCGCGCCGGCUGGAUCACGUGGGAGCGGUCCCGGAAGCUGCAGUCUAGUGAUAGAGAAGUUGCAGAUUCCUACGCCCAAAAUGCCAAAGUGAUUGAAAAGCAGCUGGAAAUAAAGGACAUGAGAAAGAGGAGACUGCAGGAGUUGACUGAGUUGGAAGCUAAGAUGAAAUGGACGCUAAUUGACAACCAGUUCAAAUAGAAGAGGCAUCAGCCAUGAGGCUGACAGUGUGAAAGGCCAUCUUGCCUGACACUUUGGAUUGCUAAGAAGAGCUGUGACGUUUAAGGUUGGAUCCCUGCCUUCUGAUGCAGCUUCACUUCUUGUCCUUUAUGGAACAGAAAGAAGCGAUGAACAAGGGAUUUACCAGCAGGGAAAUAGCUUCUCAUACCAAAAGAUUCCAUUCCAAUACAUUAGAGAUGAUCUUUCAUAUGUUCACAGCUCAAGUAAAAAUAAAAAUACACUGCCCUUAAGUUCAGUGUUGUUGAUUUUACUGCAUUGAUUGAUGUCCAGUGCUUACUCCCUUGACUCUUGGUUUGAGUACCUUUUGCUUCAGUUUUGUAAAUAUGUGGAACAAUUUGAAACCGAUAACAAAUGGAAAAAUAUACUGGAAAUGUAUACCAAGUACUGGACAUCUUCAAGAGAAAUCUGUUUAGUUUUACAGGACAUGUAUCAGGUUCUGAUAUUGGUGUCAUUAAAAACGAAUAACUUUGGCUGUAACUAGGGAUGCAAAAAAUCCUCUAUUUUGGGAGUCGGCUUAAUCCCGACUGUUUGUUGAAGGAUUCAACCAUAUCCCAAACCAAUUCAGGAUUCAGUGCAUCCCUACUUAAACAUACUCUUGGUAACACCAUUGUUUUUUUUUUAUUGUUUCAGCUUCACUGAACUGAAUCAUGAUCAACAGUGAACACCAAGUGGUCGUACUGCCAUGUCGUCGGUUAAAAGGAAUCUUGACUGCUAGGCAGACUUUCAACUCAACAGAAGGCCCAGAAUGUGAGAACGAGCAUUUAAAAACAAGACAAAGGCAGAAUGAAGUUAAAAUCACUUGGGCGUCCCCUCCAGUCAUCAUAAUAACGUAACCUGGUAUCCCACGCAUGCCCCAGUUCGGACCGAAAUGAAAAAUCGAUGGAAGAAGCUGAAAAAGAUUAUGACAAGUUGCUUCUACAGAAAUACCUCGGGCCAGUGCAAUUUUUAGUGAACGAGUACUAGCCUGGAGUAUUAGAUUUUACCAUUCAGAGCAAACUUAACAAGACCAAGUAUAAUCUUCAAUUCAUUUUGACCAUUUCGCUUCUGGAAAAAAAUGCAAGUAUAUGUUAGACUGUUUAUUCUGGAUUACCUCAUGGGAUCACCGCUGCAUGGAAAAGUGAGAGAUAUAAGCACUGCUAAGCAGAACAACAUUGCAGUUCAUUUUCUGACAUUUUUUUGACUGUCUAUAGUCGGCCAAAUUUAACAGCAGGUGACGCUGUUGUCAAUGUCAUCAUAGAUAUUACAUUUUCAAAACUACUAAUAUCUUGAAAACAAGAAAAAUGUAAAUUACAGAAGUUUGAUCUUUUCCUCUUACAAGAAAAUCAUCAUGUCCAUAGUUGUCCUUGGUGGGCAGCUAAUGUUUUUUUGCUCAACUCUCUUAGGAGCUUUAAAUCUAAAGACACUCCAUAUUAUGCGGUCACUUGGUCAGCAAUGACUUUCUGUUUUAUGAUGUGUUGUGAUUCUUUUUUGCUGCUCUCCUUUCCUAUAGUUAUAUAACAAACUAUCAUAGACUUCAAAUUUUACAGAUUUGGCUUGAUCCCUAAAUUGAUGAAGAACACUAAUACACUGGGGAAGGCAUUGAAUUAUAUUGCACCCCUGCCAGUGAACUGGUGUUUCAUUGUUCUUUAAAAUUUAGAUGAAUUGAAUAAUUUUUACCCCUGUACAUUGUUUUACGAAAAAAAUGCAUCAGCCCCAGAAAAAAAAUAAGUGCAGAACUGCGAUUAAUAUUUUAUUAGCUGUUAUUCUUAAUGCACAGCAGUUGUGGAGCUUGAAAUCAAGGUGGUGGAGGAGCUUGAAAUCAAGGUUAUUACUUACCUUUCCCAGGAAACCCUAGUGCAGAUUGUACAGUAAUAUAUGUAAAUGUUACUCUACUGCACAUGCGCAAGAGGGACACCUACUAAAGAUACAUAAGAGGGUGACUAUUAUUGUUGACUCCUGUCUUUUUUUUACUGCUCAUAGUGAAACUUUUUAAAAUCCUUUUGCUUUUACUGUAUCUGUGACUUUAUCUUAGUAUAGAAACACCUGAUGACUACUGCAACAUGGUUACAUAGUUAAAUCAGGUUAAAUAAAGACAAAAUCCAUAAAGUUCAACCCCUCCAAA